rnacentral:rRNA from 1 species
GAUGAACGCUGGCGGCGUGCCUAAUACAUGCAAGUCGAGCGAACAGACGAGGAGCUUGCUCCUCUGACGUUAGCGGCGGACGGGUGAGUAACAUGUGGAUAACCUACCUAUAAGACUGGGAUAACUUCGGGAAACCGGAGCUAAUACCGGAUAAUAUAUUGAACCGCAUGGUUCAAUAGUGAAAGACGGUUUUGCUGUCACUUAUAGAUGGAUCCGCGCCGCAUUAGCUAGUUGGUAAGGUAACGGCUUACCAAGGCAACGAUGCGUAGCCGACCUGAGAGGGUGAUCGGCCACACUGGAACUGAGACACGGUCCAGACUCCUGCGGGAGGCAGCAGUAGGGAAUCUUCCGCAAUGGGCGAAAGCCUGACGGAGCAACGCCGCGUGAGUGAUGAAGGUCUUCGGAUCGUAAAACUCUGUUAUUAGGGAAGAACAAAUGUGUAAGUAACUAUGCACGUCUUGACGGUACCUAGUCAGAAAGCCACGGCUAACUACGUG